rnacentral:rRNA from 1 species
UACGUAGGGUGCGAGCGUUGUCCGGAAUUAUUGGGCGUAAAGAGCUUGUAGGCGGUCUGUCGCGUCUGCUGUGAAAAUCCGGAGGCUCAACCCCCGGAUUGCAGUGGGGUACGGGCGGACUGGAGUACUGCAGGGGAGACUGGAAUUCCUGGUGUAGCGGUGAAAUGCGCAGAUAUCAGGAGGAACACCGAUGGCGAAGGCAGGUCUCUGGGCCGAUACUGACGCUGGAGGAGCGAAAGCGUGGGGAGCGAACAGG